UACGAAGGGGGCUAGCGUUGCUCGGAAUUACUGGGCGUAAAGGGCGCGUAGGCGGCACUGUUAGUCAGGCGUGAAAGUCCUGGGCUCAACCUGGGAACUGCGCUUGAUACGGCAGAGCUAGAGGAUGGAAGAGGCUCGCGGAAUUCCCAGUGUAGAGGUGAAAUUCGUAGAUAUUGGGAAGAACACCGGUGGCGAAGGCGGCGACCUGGUCCUUGACUGACGCUGAGGCGCGAAAGCGUGGGGGAGCAAACAGG
rnacentral:rRNA from 1 species